rnacentral:lncRNA from 1 species
AAAGAAUUUGUACUUCACCAUGAACUACAUGUAUUACUGCCUUGCUUUCUUCCUCUCUAGCUUUCUUGUGUUCAAACUUGUAUUCCAACGUUCCCGCAACUUACCACCAAGUCCUUUCGGUUUUCCGAUCAUAGGUCAUCUCCACCUUGUCUCGAAGCCACCAAUGCAUAAAGUGCUAGCAAUUCUUUCAAAUAAAUGCGGUCCAGUGUUUACUCUUAAAUUAGGCAGCAGGAACAUUGUUGCUGUUUGUUCUUUAUCAGCUGCAGAAGAAUGUUACAUCAAGAAUGAUAUAGUUUUUGCCAACAGGCCUCAGAGUAUAUUUGUCCAUUAUUGGAGCUACAACUACGCUGCCUUUUUAUUUGCUCCGUAUGGCCAUCUCUGGCGGACUCUGAGGCGUUUCUCGGUCACUGAACUGUUUUCUCGAAGCUGCCUCGAUCGGUCUACUGCCACUACCGAAGAAGUCCGCACCCUUCUCCGCCUGAUUCUGUCCAAAGUCUCUGAUGAUGGAGCCAAGAAGGUGGACUUGAACUAUUUCUUCACAAUCACCUCUCUCAAUGUAAUUAUGAAGAUGAAUGCUGGAAAGAAGUGGGUGGAAGAGGAGAAAGCUGCCUGUAUCGAGUCAGGAAAGCAGUGUAUUGAGGAUGUCCAGAAGAUAUUCCCUUCAAAUCCAGGGACCAGCUUGUUGGAUUUUUUUCCAUUUUUGAAAUGGUUUGGGUACAAGGGGGAGGAGGAGAGUGUGAUAAGGGUGUAUAAAGAGAGGGAUGAAUUCUUGCAGGGCGUGAUAGAAGAGGUGAAACGAAAGGAAACAAGUUCAGAUACAAGUAAUCCUGCUGAGGGAGUGAAGCAUCAGACAACUGUGAUUGGAAGUCUAUUGGCCCUCCAAAAAUCAGACCCUGAAUUGUAUACGGAUGAUGUUGUCAAGGGUACCAUGGCGGUAAGAAACUUAAAAUACCGAACUUACGGGCCCUUCGAAGUCUUACAUGUUUUCUAAAGCUCUCUUGAAUUUAUAAGAAUUUUAAAGGUGUUCUUGUGAAAUAGCCCCUCAAAAACAAAAAUUGUACCGUUUGGUCACCCCACUUUCCAAAGUCUGAAUUUAUCCCUAGUUAAAAUUAACCAAAAUUAAUAACUGUAAUUUUCUUAGACUGAGCAUGAAUUUUUCAUCUUCCGCAGACGCUCUACAUGGCAGGAGUAGAUACAGUAGAUUUCACCACAGAAUGGGCAAUGACAUUUCUGCUGAACCAUCCAGAGAGACUAGAGAGGGUGAGAGCAGAGAUUGACAUGGAAGUCGGGCACGAGCGCUUGGUACAAGAGUCUGAUCUUCCCAAGCUAAGAUAUGUUCGUUGUGUCGUUAACGAGACCCUUCGUCUGUAUCCUCCAGCCCCGCUUCUGCUGCCUCACGCGCCAUCUGAAGACUGCGUCAUAGGUGGAUACAAGAUACCACGAGGCACGAUUGUGAUGGUGAAUGCAUGGGCCAUACAUAGGGAUCCCAAGCUGUGGGAAGAUCCUGAGAGCUUCAAACCGGAGAGAUUCGAAGGUCUUAAUAAUGAAGGGGACAAACAAGGAUUCAUCCCUUUCGGUAUUGGGAGAAGGGCUUGCCCUGGAAAUCACAUGGCCAUGCGCAGAGUGAUGUUGGCAUUGGCUGCGCUUAUUCAGUGCUUUGAAUGGGAAAGAGUCGGGCAGGAACUGGUAGAUAUGAGCAUCGUAGAUGCUCUUAUCUCUGUACAGAAGGCUAAGCCUUUGGAGGCUAUUUGUGUUCCUCGUCCUUUCACAACCACUCUCAUCUCUCCACCCUAAUCCCAAUUAUGGAAUAAGACUGUGACUUUCUACGGAACCGUUUCUAUUUGGAAUAAAGUUCCAUGUUUACUUUGCUUUGUAAUGCAAUCCAGAGCUAUCUCUGUUUGGAAAUAAAGUUAUUCUAAGUUUACUUUGCUUUGUAAAUCAAUCCGCCAUUGAUGAGGUAUAAUUCAAGUUUAUUUUUUGUGGUAUAAAUAGGUGGCUAAAAGCUCAAAAACAAAGAAACUAUAGAUAAUCUUGAGCAAACGAUGUUUUCACCGCAAUGCCACAAACACGUCAUUCAGGGUCAUCGAUGGUUAUGGUUUUAAUAAAGAUGAAGUUAUCAAGGAGCAAACUAUAAUACUCAUUAAUUCGAGACCAAAAGAUGCAUAACAAUAUCAUUGAGAUUUCAUAUAAUGUUUUUUUCUGACAGACAUGGAGUUCAUUUUUUGUUUUUCUCACUACAUUCUGUAUCAAUAUAACCUGUAAAAGGGAAUGAGAAAAAACAAAUUUAAUCAGAAGAUGAAGAUAAUUUCAAUUCCUAAAGGUGGGGCAGAUCUAGAGAAAUGGAGAUGAUGGAGGAACAACUUUAAAUCCUAGAUAUUGCUUAUCAAGGAAAAGACAUACACCAAUAAUUACUUUGUGACUGCUGGGUUGGAGUGGUUGAUAGAAAUGGAACGGUGCUCGUUUGGGUCAUUUGUUAUUACUAGUCGUUGUUGAAAGCAUAUUAUAAAAUGAAAUAAAAGCUAUAAUUGUUUUUUUUUUAAAUAGUAUCGAUAACAUGCCAUCUACUGUUCUAGAUUCCAAUGACAAAAGAGUUGCCGGAAAAUCACGUGAGACCUUAAUAACAUGUAUUUUGUACACAAAGACAUAAUGAAGACCUUAAUAAACUCAUUUGUCCAUGAACUUCUCAAAAAAAAAAUCCAAAUCAAACCCAAAUUCCAAAAACUUUCAUAUCCUAGAUCUACUCCCUCAAGUAAGGUAAAGGUUAAAAAAAUAUUUAGAUAGAACUCCUCUCGUCGAAUAAAAUUCAUUGACAUCAAGAUCAAGUAUUUUUUUAACCAAAAUCAGUGUUAACAACAGAUUUUCCUCUCUUCAAUCUCUUUCAUCUCUCAAACCAAAUGAGCUGAAAAGAGAAGAAGAUGAAGUUUUGGAUUAAGAGUGAUUUUUUUUUAAAUCAAAGGGACUAUAAAUGUAUCAAUUGGAAAAUAGAAGGAGCAAAGUUAACUUUUCACAUCUUAGUUUCUCUGCUUUUUGUUUUUCACUUGGAAAGUUAUUAAAUUCUGCCACCCAGUUUGUCAAGCAACCACUAGCAUGUAUCUUCCAUAUCCCGAUUGAUCAUGUCUGCAGCAAAUCUUCACGGACCAUUUUUCAAUCGAACGAAGUGAUUUAACAUUAAACACUUUUUUAAUGCUAGUUCUUAAUAAAUUAGAUCUAAUCGGCCAUCAGUUUAAUAAUUAAAAUAGCGACAAGUCAACAAAAUCUUAUAAAUGCUUGUGCAUCAUCUCAGCAGACUAUAUUGUACACAUCUUUAUCAAUUAACAAAUCAUAAAAAUUAUUCACCUAACAUUAGUUGCUGUUUUAUAACAAUAUUUUAUUUCUAUUUUUUGAACUUGGUUUCUUAUAAUUUAAAUCAAUAUCGUCGAUUUCGUUCGAUUUCGUCUGGAAUGGCCGAAACAUUUCAUACUAAUUUAAAAAAAAAUAAUUUUCAUCUCAUUUCAAAUCUCGGUGAUCUGUUCCGGAUUUUUCGAUUAAAUUUCAGCCCGAAUGUUUAGCUUUCAUUUCACAUGUUCUGUCCAGUCUUAAAAAGUCAUCGAAUCAAAUCAAACCUGGUUCAAUUUAAUUAAUUAAACCACUAAAGUAUAAAAAGUUUUUUUUCAUUACUAUUUUCAAUAACAAUAAAAUUAAUAAUAAUAUUAAAAAUUAUUAUUACUAUUUUCAUUAACAAUGAUAUUAAUUUUUUAAAAUUAGAUUUAUCACUAAUAUAUAUGGUUUAUGUUCAUGUUGUUUUUUUCAUGUUUAUACUUUAUAGGAAUUUGAGCAAAACAAGGGAUGAUUUAGAUUUCAUAAGCCUUGAUAAUAUUGACCUAGCUUUAUAUUUAAAAUAUUUAUGUUAAAACAUUUUACUUUUAUAAUAUUUUGAUAUUUUGUUUAAGUUUAAUUACUUUAAGUUCUUGACUAUUUAGAAAUAUUUUAAAAUUUGAAAUUAUAUUUGUUUGACAUUGUGUUUGUAUUGCAUAAUUUAUAAUUAAUUUAUCUUGAAUUGGAAUUAUGUUUGUUGAAUUAUAUAUAAUUUAUAUAUGAACAGUACAAUUCCAAAAUGACACGCGAAACUAAAACAUUUUAUUUCAAUUAAAAAAAUAAAAUAUUUUUUAAAACAGAACUGACAACCUGAUUUAAAUUGUUGGAUGGUAUCCAACAUUAUGCAUAUAAUUAUCACUAAAUGAUAUGAUACUAAUUAGUCCUUCAUUGUUAAGCUCGUGUAAUUAUCACUGUUAAACUAGGUUUAUUAAUUUUAUAAUUAUCAAGAUUUAUUUUUCAAAUAAAUAAGGUAUUUUUUCCCCUCACUUUGGCUUCAAGUACUUUGAACUCUAGUGGCUAAAAAGGAAUACACCAUCCUAACAAUUAGAUUAAUUUUUUCUUCUAAUUAAUUUAUUGUGAUCAAGGGUGAUAUUUUCGAUUCAGUUCGGUUUUUAUUUAAAAAAAAUAAUCAAAUUGAAAUUUUUAAAAAAAAUCAAAACCAGUUCAAACCGACCAGUUUCAUUCAGUUCGAUUUUGUUUUUUAUGACAAAAAUCGGUUUGACUCGGUUUUUUCAAUUUGUCUCAGUUUUUUUCUGGUUUGGGUUCAGUUCGGUUCAUUUUUUUUUUGUUUCAGGCUUAUAAAACCGAAACCGAACCAAAUUGGUCAGUUUUUUCAAAAUUUUAAUCGGUUUAAUCAGUUUUUUUUCACGGUUUAGUUUUUUUUUUCAAGUUUUCUUGGUUUAAUCAGUUUUUUGAUUUUUUUCUCACCCCUAAAUGUGAUUACUUAUUUAACUACAUGUUGCUUUGAUGUUUGGAAUCCUUAUUUUCUACAUAACUUUUUCACUCUAAGUUUCUUACAAUUUAAUAAUUUUGUAUACCUUAUCAAGUGUGAUUGUCAUUACAGUUUCGGCAUUAAUUUUCAUUAAUUAAUCUUUUAAGAAUUAUUGCAUUAAAUCAUGGCCUAUUAAUUAACGAAUUAUUACACAUUUGUUCUUUUUUCAAUGAUAAAACAAUAUAUCCGAUCAAUUUUUUUUUCUUUUUAAUUUUUUGCACGUGAAAUAACCUUCCAAUCAUCCUCGCCAUUAAAUCCUUAAUUUAUUAAAUUCAAAUCUUCAAUUUGUCCAGUUUAUGUUAUUCAAUUCUGGUCUUAGGCUUCUUCUGGUAAUUGUCACCUUUCGUAUUCAAUGCAUUCUCACGUGCACUCAUGUUCUUUCUAGCAUCGCUCUUGAGACCACCUCCAGUCUUCGACUUGGGAUCUGCUAGUUGUGACUUCCUACGUUGUCAUUAUCCAAGGUAAUAACACAGACAGUCCAAAUUUUUUUGUUUUUUUUUUUAUUUUUUUAAAUUAUUUUAAUAUACUAAUAAGUAAAUCUUCGUAGGUAAAGUGCCGGACUGAGAGUCUAUUUAUGACUGAAUUUUUCAUCGGCUAUGUCAGCUCGAACUGCAGAUAGCAUUCGCUUUUGGUCUAACAGCAGCAUAUUAGCAAUUGUGUGAUUUCAGGCAGUCAUUUCUUGUAGGUUUUGGCUUUUGGAUGGAUGACUUUAGCAUCGACUCCAUGGAUCACUGAUCGAGAGUUUGAUUUUGGUGAAGUCUUUGAAUGAUCUCAUCGAAGACCGGGAGAAUCCAACAGAGUGACGGACCUUGCUUUUUCUUUUUUUUAAUGUAAUUCUCAAUUACUAUUAAAAAAAAAAAUACCAAACACGCUAGGAAAAAAAAUCUCUUCCCUUGUCUCGUAUCUAUCUAUUCAAACCUUGUUCUCCAUCCACAGCAACCCACCAUGCUUACAAAUAAUUUGUGCUUCACCUGGACUACAUGUACUACUGUCUUGCUUUCUUCCUCUCCAGCUUUCUUCUAUUCAAACCUGUAUUCCAACGUACCCUCAACUUACCACCAAGUCCUUUCGGUUUUCCGAUCAUAUAUAGGCCAUCUCCACCUUGUCUCGAAGCCACCAAUGCAUAAAGUGCUAGCAAUUCUUUCAAAUAAAUGCGGUCCAAUUUUUACUCUGAAAUUAGGCAGCAGGAACAUUGUUGCUGUUUGUUCUUUAUCAGCUGCUGAAGAAUGUUUCAUCAAGAAUGAUAUAGUUUUUGCCAACAGGCCUCAGAGCAUAUUUGUCCAUUACUGGAGCUACAGCUACGCUGCCUUUUUAUUUGCUCCGUAUGGCCAUCUCUGGCGGACCCUGAGGCGUUUCUCGGUCACUGAACUGUUUUCUCGAAGCUGCCUCGAUCGGUCUACUGCCAUUACCGAAGAAGUCCGCACCCUUCUCCGCCUGAUUCUGUCCAAAGUCUCUGAUGAUGGAGCCAAGAAGGUAGA